UGGGGAAUUUUGGACAAUGGGGGAAACCCUGAUCCAGCCAUCCCGCGUGUGCGAUGAAGACCUUCGGGUUGUAAAGCACUUUUGGCAGGAAAGAAACGUCGCGGGUUAAUACCCGCGAAACUGACGGUACCUGCAGAAUAAGCACCGGCUAACUACGUGCCAGCAGCCGCGGUAAUACGUAGGGUGCAAGCGUUAAUCGGAAUUACUGGGCGUAAAGCGUGCGCAGGCGGUUCGGAAAGAAAGAUGUGAAAUCCCAGAGCUUAACUUUGGAACUGCAUUUUUAACUACCGGGCUAGAGUGUGUCAGAGGGAGGUGGAAUUCCGCGUGUAGCAGUGAAAUGCGUAGAUAUGCGGAGGAACACCGAUGGCGAAGGCAGCCUCCUGGGAUAACACUGACGCUCAUGCACGAAAGCGUGGGGAGCAAACAGGAUUAGAUACCCUGGUAGUCCACGCCCUAAACGAUGUCAACUAGCUGUUGGGGGCCUUCGGGCCUUGGUAGCGCAGCUAACGCGUGAAGUUGACCGCCUGGGGAGUACGGUC
rnacentral:rRNA from 1 species